ACAGCAGUCGCCGCGGUAAAACGAAGGGUGCAAGCGUUAAUCGGAAUUACUGGGCGUAAAGCGUGCGUAGGCGGUUUGUUAAGUCUGUUGUGAAAUCCCCAGGCUCAACCUGGGAAUGGCAAUGGAUACUGGCAAGCUAGAGUGUGUCAGAGGAUGGUGGAAUUCCCGGUGUAGCGGUGAAAUGCGUAGAGAUCGGGAGGAACAUCAGUGGCGAAGGCGGCCAUCUGGGACAACACUGACGCUGAGGCACGAAAGCGUGGGGAGCAAACAGGAUUAGAUACCCCCGUAGUCCCUGUCUCUUAUAC
rnacentral:rRNA from 1 species